AAGACUAUAGACCUGCGGAGUACCUGCGGAGGGAUCAUUACCGAGUUUACAACUCCCAAACCCAUGUGAACAUACCUGUCUUGUUGCUUCGGCGGCGCCCACGACCCUCACGGGCUUGGGGCCCGCCAGAGGACCCAAACAAAACUCUUUGCAUUUUGAAUACAGUAUUCUGAGUGACAUGAUUAAAUAAAAUCAAAACUUUUAGCAAUGGAUCUCU
rnacentral:misc_RNA from 1 species